rnacentral:rRNA from 1 species
GUAGCUGGUCUGAGAGGAUGACCAGCCACACUGGAACUGAGACACGGUCCAGACUCCUACGGGAGGCAGCAGUGGGGAAUAUUGGACAAUGGGGGCAACCCUGAUCCAGCAAUGCCGCGUGUGUGAAGAAGGCCUGAGGGUUGUAAAGCACUUUCAGUGGGGAGGAGGGUUGAUAGGUUAAGAGCUAAUUAACUGGACGUUACCCACAGAAGAAGCACCGGCUAACUCCGUGCCAGCAGCCGCGGUAAUACGGAGGGUGCGAGCGUUAAUCGGAAUUACUGGGCGUAAAGGGUGCGUAGGUGGUUGAUUAAGUUAUCUGUGAAAUUCCUGGGCUUAACCUGGGACGGUCAGAUAAUACUGGUUGACUCGAGUAUGG